AUUGAACGCUGGCGGCAGGCCUAACACAUGCAAGUCGAGCGAGCGGCGGACGGGUGAGUAAUGCUUGGGAAUCUAGCUUAUGGAGGGGGAUAACUACGGGAAACUGUAGCUAAUACCGCGUACCAUAGGAUGAGCCCAAGUGGGAUUAGGUAGUUGGUGAGGUAAAGGCUCACCAAGCCGACGAUCUCUAGCUGGUCUGAGAGGAUGACCAGCCCCACUGGGACUUAGACACGGCCCAGACUCCUACGGGAGGCAGCAGUGGGGAAUAUUGCGCAAUUGGGGCAACCCUGACGCAGCCAUGCCGCGUGUAUGAAGAAGGCCUUCGGGUUGUAAAGUACUUUCAGUCGGGAGGCGUUACCGACAGAAGAAGCACCGGCUAACUCCGUGCCAGCAGCCGCGGUAAUAC
rnacentral:rRNA from 1 species